rnacentral:rRNA from 1 species
UCCUACGGGAGGCAGCAGUGGGGAAUAUUGGACAAUGGGGGCAACCCUGAUCCAGCCAUGCCGCGUGAGUGAUGAAGGCCCUAGGGUUGUAAAGCUCUUUUGUGCGGGAAGAUAAUGACGGUACCCCAAGAAUAAGCCCCGGCUAACUUCGUGCCAGCAGCCGCGGUAAU